rnacentral:rRNA from 1 species
CCUACGGGAGGCAGCAGUGGGGAAUAUUGCGCAAUGGGCGAAAGCCUGACGCAGCGACGCCGCGUGAGGGAUGAAGGUCUUCGGAUCGUAAACCUCUGUCAGCAGGGAAGAACGGUCACUGUGCUAAUCAGCAGUGAAUUGACGGUACCUGCAAAGGAAGCACCGGCUAACUCCGUGCCAGCAGCCGCGGUAAUACGGAGGGUGCGAGCGUUAAUCGGAAUUACUGGGCGUAAAGCGCUCGUAGGCGGUAUGUCAAGUCAAGGGUGAAAUCCCCGCGCUUAACGUGGGAACUGCCUUUGAAACUGGCAAACUGGAGUGUGUGAGAGGAUAGUGGAAUUCCAGGUGUAGGAGUGAAAGCCGUAGAUAUCUGGAGGAACAUCAGGGGCGAAGGCGACUAUCUGGCACAUAACUGACGCUGAGGAGCGAAAGCGUGGGUAGCAAACAGGAUUAGAUACCCCUGUAGUC